UUGAUUCCGAUUAUGCCCUUCAAGCCAAAUCUCUCUCUAUAUUCUUCUCCUCCUCCGCACUGACACAAACUUCCUCUCUGGAGUGUCAAUGGCAAAGAAUGACGCGUCCUUGGGAUCAGUGGGCGUGUUCUUGAAGCGAUACUAGCAAUUCGGCGAGCCUUCGACGAUCGACGUCUCCAGAGAUAGGAGCCAAACGCACAGAUGAGGCAUUACGAUGAUCUCCUUACCAACAUGUACUAGACCUCUUCAUGCCCGCCGCCGAGAUCACGGACUCUGAUCCGCAAAACGACGCUGUCUUAGACGAUGCGACUCCGCUGCGCUCCAUCACUUCUGUUUCUCGGUCUCUGGUGCUGCCGUGGGCGAGCGACUGUGAGGAUCAGGUCAAGGAGGGGAUCGUUAGGUUUUCGACCGAUGGUGGGAGUGGCAAGAAGAAGAAAAGGAGAAGGUUUUGGUUGAAGAAGAAGGGAGUAGUUAAUAAUGUUACUAAGAACUUGGGUGAUGAUUCCAUCUUAAAGGCCUUGAGGUAUUUCUUGUUCUAGUACUUUGAUUCUUUUAUCUUUUACUGAAAAGCAUUAUUAAUUGGAUUCUGGUGCUUGUAUGCCAAUAUAGAAAGCCUUUGAUUAUGGUAGUACCAUGUGGUUUAAAAAACUAUCAGGUCGGAAGCAUUAAAGGGUUUUUAGGGAAUUUGAGUCAUUUGACGAUAGUAGAAGAAAAUAGCUACAUGAUCCUGAAGAUGGCCAGCUACGGGACAUUGCUUGUAAAUCUUUAAUUAAUGAGUUUUCAGAUUUUUUCAGGUUGGAAUCAAUUAUGAAACCAUCUUGAGGUUAGAGUUUUUAUAAAGUGAACCUGUAAAGUCUCUAAAAGAGGAAGUAAUUUAGUUGAGGGAUUCAGGUCAACAUUUUCAAUUGCUGGUGUAAAACAGAUCUUAACACAACAUUUCAUUUCUAAUCUGUUUCUAGAGGAGUAAAUCAUGUCACCAAACAGAAUUACAUAAUAGAUUUGUCACUUUGUGUGCAACUUAGAUGCCAACCUCGGAAUCCCUGCCAUUAGCUUUUAAGUUGUCAUGACUGCCAGCUUCCUUUGGUUCACUUCAACCUGUCUUGUUUUGCAUUGGAUGUUUCAAAUGCGACAGAAGUGAGCAGCAAAGAUAAUAUUAGUUUUCCAUCCUUUGAUUUCUUGGAAACUAGCUUGCGUUGUCAACUUUUGAGUUUGGAACCUUUUUGAGCAAUUUUGAGUUGCUAUGUUCAAAAGGAUCCAAGUGUAUCAUCAUGUAGGAUGUGUCACUGAACUAUUUUGACAUUAGUUGAAGUGGAGUCCGUAACUUACAUAUUGAAACUAUUUUAAUUAACAUGUUGAUAAGCAUUAAUAAUCAAUGUGAAAUUAUGAAGGUAUGAUACUAUUGAUAACCAGUAACUUUUGUCCGUUGUUUUUGCUAUCUUGAUUGACAGAGAAGAUUUCAUUGUGAAUUGCAAUGUCCUCUUGUUUCAUUCUCCUUCUGUUUGAUUUGAUGUUUGGAAGUUGGAGGCCUCUGUUUGGAAUAACUUGCAGGAAGUUUUCCUUAAAAUAUCUUAUGGGAAUGUGUAGUAGUAAUAAGAGUUCUCAUUAAUCACUUCCAUCCAUUGGUGUCUUUCAUCUUGUCUUGGUAUAAUUGAUUGACUUUGUGAUCUGUUUUUUAAGCUAUUCUGUUGGUAUGUCAAGGGAAUAUGAAGUUAACAUUGGGACAAGUUUGUUAUUUUAUCUCCAAAAAGCUUUAGGUUGUCAAACAACAACAAAAUUCCAAUUGGAUUACUUCAGCGAUUCUAGUUCACUCAAAGACCACAAACCAAGCUUCGACGAUGUUCAGUGAUGAGACAAUGUUCAUGUUUAGAGAAGCCAAGACGUCCUUUUGAGAAGGAACAUUUGGAUGUUGAGCUGAAGCUUGUUGAAGAAUAUGGGCUUCGGCGCAAGAGGGACUUGUGGAGGGUCCAGUAUGCUUUGAGCCACAUCUGUAAUGCUGCUAGGGAACUUCUUACUCUGGACAAGAAAAAUCCUCGCCGUAUCUUUAGACCCAGUUGUGGUUAUGUUUUAUUUUGUUUAAUGUGCUUAUGGGAGGUUGUCCUAAUUGGAAAAAGUGUUGGGGUUGUACUUUGACUAAAAUCACUUGAAAUCUUCCUGGAAUCACAAUAAAAUCUUCUUACUAAUGUUUUGAACAUA